UGAGGAAUAUUGGUCAAUGGGCGAGAGCCUGAACCAGCCAAGUAGCGUGCAGGUUGACGGCCCUAUGGGUUGUAAACUGCUCUUAUGUGGGGAUAAAGUGCGUGACGUGUCAUGCAUUGCAGGUACCACAUGAAUAAGGACCGGCUAAUUCCGUGCCAGCAGCCGCGGUAAUACGGAAGGUCCGGGCGUUAUCCGGAUUUAUUGGGUUUAAAGGGAGCGUAGGCUGUCUAUUAAGCGUGUUGUGAAAUUUACCGGCUCAACCGGUGGCUUGCAGCGCGAACUGGUCGACUUGAGUAUGCAGGAAGUAGGCGGAAUUCAUGGUGUAGCGGUGAAAUGCUUAGAUAUCAUGACGAACUCCGAUUGCGCAGGCAGCUUACUGUAGCAUAACUGACGCUGAUGCUCGAAAGUGCGGGUAUCAAACAGG
rnacentral:rRNA from 1 species